rnacentral:rRNA from 1 species
UUUACUAUUGGAGCGGUUAGUGGCGGACUGGUGAGUAACACGUAAGCAACCUGCCUAUCAGAGGGGAACAACAGUUGGAAACGACUGCUAAUACCGCAUGAUACAUUUGGGUGGCAUCAUCUGAAUGUCAAAGAUUUAUCGCUGUGGGAUGGGCUCAUGUCUGAUUAGUUAGUUGGUGGGGUAACGGCCUACCAAGUCUACGAUCAGUAGCCGGACUGAGAGGUUGAACGGCCACAUUGGGACUGAGAUACGGCCCAGACUCC